rnacentral:rRNA from 1 species
UACGGAGGAUCCGAGCGUUAUCCGGAUUUACUGGGUUUAAAGGGUGCGCAGGCGGGAGAUUAAGUCGGCUGUGAAAUUUUGCAGCUCAACUGUAAAAGUGCCUUCGAAACUGGUUUCCUUGAGUGUGGAUGAAGUAGGCGGAAUUUGUGGUGUAGCGGUGAAAUGCAUAGAUAUCACGAGGAACUCCGAUUGCGCAGGCAGCUUACUAAACCAUAACUGACGCUCAGGCACGAAGGCGUGGGGAGUCAAACAGGAUUAGAUACCCGGGUA